rnacentral:rRNA from 1 species
UAUUAAGUAUUUAAGCGUAUACUGUGGAUGCCUUGGCAAUCAGAGGCGAUGAAGGACGUGCUAAUCUGCGAUAAGCAUUGACAAGCUGAUAUGAAGCGAUAUAGUCAAUGAUUUCCGAAUGGGGAAACUCAGUACUUUUAAGUACUAUCGUUUAAUGAAUAUAUAGUUAAACGAGGCGAACCGAGGGAACUGAAACAUCUAAGUACCUCGAGGAAAAGAAAUCAAUUGAGAUUCCCAGAGUAGUGGCGAGCGAAAUGGGAACAGCCAGAGUUAUGUUUUAUUAAUUUUUUUAUGUUAAGAGAAUGAAUUGGAAAAUUCUGCAAUAUAAGGUGAUAGUCCUGUAUCUAAAUAUAUUAAAAUUUCUAGUACUCAAAAAGUAAAACGAGACACGUAAUAUCUUGUUUGAAGAUGGGGG